UUUUAGCUUCGCAUCGGUGCACGUCUACAUAUUUCGUGGCCAGCUGUUGGAAGAAAGAUGUCCAUUUCAAUCUAUAGAGCCGUCUUCUUUCUUGCAGUUGCUUCUACUGUGAUGGUCUUGCAAUCAUUAUGUUCGUCCAAGGGCCACAGCAACAAACUUGAGCUUAGUGUUGGUA
rnacentral:lncRNA from 1 species